rnacentral:rRNA from 1 species
GAUGAACGCUGGCGGCGUGCCUAAUACAUGCAAGUCGAGCGAACGGACGAGAAGCUUGCUUCUCUGAUGUUAGCGGCGGACGGGUGAGUAACACGUGGAUAACCUACCUAUAAGACUGGGAUAACUUCGGGAAACCGGAGCUAAUACCGGAUGAUAUUUUGAACCGCAUGGUUCAAAAGUGAAAGACGGUCUUGCUGUCACUUAUAGAUGGAUCCGCGCUGCAUUAGCUAGUUGGUAAGGUAACGGCUUACCAAGGCAACGAUGCAUAGCCGACCUGAGAGGGUGAUCGGCCACACUGGAACUGAGACACGGUCCAGACUCCUACGGGAGGCAGCCGUAGGGAAUCUUCCGGAAUGGGCGAAAGCCUGACGGAGCAACGGCGCGUGAGUGAUGAAGGUCUUCGGAUCGUAAAACUCUGUUAUUAGGGAAGAACAUAUGUGUAAGUAACUGUGCACAUCUUGACGGUACCUAAUCAGAAAGCCACGGCUAACUACGUG